GUUCCGGGAUAUCCCCGGAGCGGCCGCGGUGGCCACAAUUGGAAUUUGAGCCGCCAUUCCUAUCCUGAGUCUUCUCCCCCCCCCCCAACCCCCCUUGCUUUCUCUGCAAAGGUCCUGGGACUUCCGGCUCGAGACAGCCCAGUGAAAUGUCCCUACAAGGAGGUGCUCACAGCAGCCUAUUUCUUCCAUCCCAGACCUUCCUAUGCCACGUGAGUUAAAGCUCUCAAGAUUCACAUCUUAGAUCCACCUCACCCUAAAGGGCACAACUGUCACAAGUUCGGAAAUGACACACCUUCUUAAAAUCAUGCCAGGUAUGCAGGAGGACUGGUCAAACGGAGGGGUGGACUCAACCAGCCACCGCAGCUCCCCAUUAUCUGAAGCAGCUAACAGGACCAGUGUUUGUUCCCAGACCUGGAAUAUAAUGGCUCGUGAUUCCUCAAUUAAAGGUUUGUCUCCUUCAAAGACCUGACCGGGUACUUUUUCUCAGAACAAUGGAAAUCUCACUCCCACUUGCCCUGGUUUACAGCUGUGCACUAACCAAUGAACGC